rnacentral:rRNA from 1 species
ACAUAACUGAUGCCUCCGCGUAUCGACUUUGUGCGCAUUUUAGCUAUUAUGUGUUCUUUUAAUUAAAAUGAUUCUUUUUAAGAUUCAUCUAUUAAAAAUUUGCCUCGGCAUAAUUUUUUUUGAUGAUCUUGUUACUUUGAGUAAAUUAGAGUGUUCAAAGCAAACAGAUAUAGCAUUUGUGCGUUUGAAUACUACAGCAUGGAAUAACAAAAUUGAACAAGUCAGAAUUUUUUUGUUCUUUUUUCUUAUUUUGGCUUAGUUACGAUUAAUAGGAGUAGCUUGGGGGCAUUUGUAUUCAGAUGUCAGAGGUGAAAUUCUUAGAUUUUCUGGAGACAAACAACUGCGAAAGCAUUUGCCUAAAAUACUUCCAUUAAUCAAGAACGAAAGUUAAGGGAGUGAAGACGAUCAGAUACCGUCGUAAUCUUAACCAUAAACUAUGCCGACUAGGCUUUGGAUGAAAGAUUUUAAAAUAAGAGUUUUUCUUUUCUCUCCGGAGAUUAGAACUCUUAGAUUGCUCCCUUCAGUGCCUUAUGAGAAAUCAAAGUCUUUGGGUUCUGGGGCGAGUAUUCGCGCAAGCGAGAAAGUUAAAAGAAUUGACGGAAGGGCACCACCAGGCGUGGAGCUUGCGGCUUAAUUUGACUCAACACGGGAAAACUCACUAGUUUAAGACAAGAGUAGGAUUGACAGAUUAAUAGCUCUUUCUUGAUUUCUUGGAUGGUGAUGCAUGGCCGUUUUUAGUUCGUGAAUAUGAUUUGUCUGGUUAAUUCCGAUAACGAACGAGAUCUUAACCUGCUAAUUAGCGGCAAAUACGAUAUAUUCUUAUGUAGAAUUGAAUAUAGUGGAUUUGUUAGAUUUUGAAGAAAAUAUUGGAAUUACGUUAAAUGUGAUUCCUUUCCCUUUUCUACUUAAUUUACAUUUCCAUCUAUUUCUUUUUUGCGUAUGAAUGUAUUUGCUUGAUUGUAAAGCUUCUUAGAGGAACGAUGUGUG